ACUGUGCUGCUAUGUGUGACCAUGACUACCUCGAAUCUGUUUAGGUUUAUUAAUAAACACUGGGCAGGGAGAGAGAGGAGCCACGGCAGGCUGUUUCAACUCGAGAGAGAUAAAGGAUUUGCCAAAAUGGACCUCUAAGGAUUAGACCGAACACCUGGCAGCCAUAUCUUUUUUAAAUUUUAUUUUCUUGAGCCAUUGGAGUAAUCAGCUUUAUUUAAGUACAUGGCAGUAAGCUGGUACCAUACUGAAGGUAAACCUGCGUUGGACAGGGAAAUUAAAUCACUCGCUGUCUUGAUGUCUCAGUAGUUUCAAGAAAAGCUCAGUGGUCUGAUGGAGUCGCAGUUGGGAGCAUCUAUUAUGGCUGUCGAGAGGUGGAUGGGUGUUGGGGGUUUAUGGUGUGUGUGUAUGUUUAUGAUGAAAGAGACCAUGGCUCCAGGAUUCCACCCGCGCCUCCUCAUUAUCGAGAAGUCUUUAAAUAGCUCCCUGCACUUUUCCAGCCGCUUCCCACGGGAGGAUUGGUUUUCACCUAAACUUCUGACCCCAACAAUGGACCAGGUGGUCCCCCUCUGUAGUCUGAGGGCAGAGAGGAUGGGAUAGAUCUGUAGAAAACAUGAAAAGAUGUGGCAGACGUAAAGGAAAGGGAAAGGUUUACAGGAAUAAAGGAGGAGACGAUUGAGAUGAUGAAAUGUUGAAGAUGGUGAAAAUCAGAUUUCAGUGCAACCCAUAUCUUGAGCUGCAAUGACUACUUACUUUUUUAUUUUUAUUUUUUACCCCAAAACUAUGAUUUCAAGUUAUCUUCUAGAUAUUAUUUUGGGUAAUGACAGUUUGUCAUUCAUUUCCCUUUUUCCUAUGCCAUGCCUGUCAUUUUCACACUAUUUUUGAAUAUGUCUUUAUAUUUCUUUAUAUUUAUAUUACAUAAGAAAUAAUAUAAUAAAAUGACACCACUAGAUGGCUCCACAACUCCUCUCACAAGGGUAACAAAUGGAAAUGCUGAGUUCCUAACUCUGAAGAACCAGUUCUGUCUAGAAACAGCUUCAACCUCUCUACCCAGUGUUCCUGUGGGCUUUUCUUUUUAUGAAUGCAGCAUCAGUUUAGAAGUCAUGAUUGUCAUGAAAUGUAAAUACAAGACUAAAGCACUAACAGCAAUAGUUUUAUCUAGUUUUUAACAAGAUGAAAUAACAUGCAUUAUACAAAUUUACCUCAAUGCUCUGGAUAACUUCGCAGUAUUUUCUCUGUAUUUAUGUUUUGUUUUUUAAAGUUAUGUUAAUGGUUAAUUACUGCUUUACAAAGGAAUUGGGGCAUAGUAAGAGAAUGAUGGACCACUAUAAGCACUAAUAUAUGUGCUAGAAAAUGAAUCUAAGAUUAUUUUCUGCAAGUCCUACUUCUGAGAAUUUACAUGAGUUUUCUUUUUACCAAAUAUGCUUUUGUUUGCAGUUAACACCCUGUAAAAUACUGACUGUUAUUCUGAUUCAGUCUUUCCAAGAAAAGAUUGCGUCCCUUUUACUCAAGAAAAGAUGUAAUGUUUAUCUUAUUCACCCUUGUUGACCACUGUGACUCUGUGUUUUUGUAAGUCCAGGCUUUAGAAGAGAGACAGUAAUUUACAUGACGUUAUGUCCAGAGAUGAUCUGUUUCAACGGUUUAACAUUGUUGUGCUGAUCCACACCCACACAGCCACUUGGAUCCAGAGAGACUCUUUCUCACUUCUCUGCCAUAAAAAUCUCUCUCACAUC